UCAUCAUUUGGGUAUCUAGUUUAAAAAAUGUGUGGCGUGACUCGGCCAACCAACCAAGAUGGCCGCCAUGGCUAAAAAUAGAACAUAGGGAUAAAAUGUAGAUUUUGGCUUAUAACUCUGAAACCAAAGCAUUUAGAGCAAAUCUAAGAUGGGGUAAAAUUGUUUAUCAAGUGAAAAUCUAUCUGCCCUGAAAUUUUCAAAUGAAUCAGACAACCGGUUGUUGGGUUGCUGCCCCUGAAUUGGUAAUUUUAAGGAAAUUUUACUGUUUUCGGUUAUAACCUUGAAUAUUAUUAUAGAUAGAGAUAAACUGUAAACAGCAAUAAUGUUCAGCAAAGUAAGAUCUACAAAUAAGUCAACAUGACCAAAAUGGUCAGUUGACCCUGAAGGAGUUAUUGCACUUUAUAGGUUGCACUUUGUAAAUACAGCUGUUUCUCAAAACACGCCUCUUUUGGGGAGUAAUUGAAUAUUCAUAGAAAAAUAAUUUUGUUUACAUACUGGUUCCAGUUAUGCUUCUGUUUCCAUAUCGCAGAGACAGAAAUUGGGAAUGUUACCAGUAAAUAAACACGUGCAUAUUGUUUACAUUGAAAUCUGUGGUAACCUUUCAUUCGAGGUAGGGGUAGUUAAGAAAAUUAGUGCAAGUUUAAACUCGGAGAAGUUCAGGGCAUAUAAACGUUGAAAAUAUGCCGCACAGCCCUAUAUUUUGACCUUUGAAAAAAAUUGUGGUGCAUAUGAACUUUCAAUUCUAGGAUAAGAUUUUUUUUCAAAACUUCAUAGUAAAAGUGGUACAGUUUUAGCCAUAAAAAGA
rnacentral:lncRNA from 1 species